rnacentral:rRNA from 1 species
UACGGAAGGCAGCAGUGGGGAAUAUUGCACAAUGGGCGCAAGCCUGAUGCAGCCAUGCCGCGUGUAUGAAGAAGGCCUUCGGGUUGUAAAGUACUUUCAGUCGUGAGGAAGGUGUUAAGGUUAAUAACCUUAGCAAUUGACGUUAGCGACAGAAGAAGCACCGGCUAACUCCGUGCCAGCAGCCGCGGUAAUACGGAGGGUGCGAGCGUUAAUCGGAAUUACUGGGCGUAAAGGGCACGCAGGCGGUUAAUUAAGUUGGAUGUGAAAUCCCCGGGCUUAACCUGGGAAUGGCAUUCAAGACUGGUUAGCUAGAGUCUUGUAGAGGGGGUAGAAUUCCAUGUGUAGCGGUGAAAUGCGUAGAGAUGUGGAGGAAAUACCGGGUGGGCGAAAGGCGGGCCCCCUGGGACAAAAGGACUGACGCUCAUGUGCGAAAGCGUGGGGAGCAAACAGGGAUUAGAUACC